rnacentral:rRNA from 1 species
AUUGAACGCUGGCGGCAUGCCUUACACAUGCAAGUCGAACGUUAACGGUCCUUAGGGUGCCUACUAGUUUCUAACUGGUGAGUAAUACAUCGGCACGUACCCGAUCGUGGGUUAUAACGAGGCUAAAGCUUUUCUAAUACCUCUUACGCUCUACCCAUUCCAGCAUGGGUCCCCAAGUCCUUUCGCGGUCGGUCCGUCCGAUUGCCUUUUAGGUCGUUGUUGGGAUUACAGCUUACCAAGCCGACGAUCUGUAGCUGGUCUGACAGGAUGAUCAGCAACACUGGGACUGAGAAACGGCCCAGACUCCUACGGGAGGCAGAAGUGGGGAAUUUUGGACAAUGGGCGCAAGCAUGAUCAAGACAUGCCGCGUGCAGGAUGAAGGCCUUCGGGUUGUAAACUGCUUUUGUACGGAACGAAAAGCCUUCUGUUAAAACAGGAGAGUCAUGACGGUACCGUAAGAAUAAGCACCGGCUAACUACGUG